rnacentral:piRNA from 1 species
UGCCAGACCUUUUUUUAAUGACAAAUACUGG